CAGUAGCCGCGGUAAUACAGAGGGUGCGAGCGUUAAUCGGAUUUACUGGGCGUAAAGCGUGCGUAGGCGGCUUUUUAAGUCGGAUGUGAAAUCCCUGAGCUUAACUUAGGAAUUGCAUUCGAUACUGGGAAGCUAGAGUAUUGGAGAGGAUGGUAGAAUUCCAGGUGUAGCGGUGAAAUGCGUAGAGAUCUGGAGGAAUACCGAUGGCGAAGGCAGCCAUCUGGCCUAAUACUGACGCUGAGGUACGAAAGCAUGGGGAGCAAACAGGAUUAGAUACCCGAGUAGUCCCUGUCUCUUAUAC
rnacentral:rRNA from 1 species